rnacentral:rRNA from 1 species
AUGGAAUGACCCUUCGGGGGAAUGAAAUCCUAGAAAGUGGCGAACGGGUGAGUAACGCGUGGGUAACCUGCCCUAUGGAAAGGAAUAGCCUCGGGAAACUGGGAGUAAUGCCUUAUAAUAUACGAGAGUCGCAUGGCUUUUGUAUUAAACGCUCCGGUGCCAUAGGAUGGACCCGCGUCCCAUUAGCUAGUUGGUGAGAUAACAGCCCACCAAGGCAACGAUGGGUAACCGGUCUGAGAGGGCGAACGGUCACACUGGAACUGAGACACGGUCCAGACUCCUACGGGAGGCAGCAGUGGGGAAUAUUGCGCAAUGGGGGCAACCCUGACGCAGCAAUACCGCGUGAGUGAAGAAGGUUUUCGGAUCGUAAAGCUCUGUUAUUGGGGAAGAAAAAAGACGGUACCCAAGAAGAAAGUCCCGGCUAACUACGUGCCAGCAGCCGCGGUAAUACGUAGGGGACAAGCGUUGUCCGGAUUUACUGGGCGUAAAGGGCACGCAGGCGGUUUUUUAAGUCAGAUGUGAAAGGUACCGGCUCAACCGGUGACAUGCAUUUGAAACUGAAAGACUUGAGUAUUGGAGAGGCAAGUGGAAUUCCUAGUGUAGCGGUGAAAUGCGUAGAUAUUAGGAG